rnacentral:rRNA from 1 species
UACGGGAGGCAGCAGUGAGGAAUAUUGGUCAAUGGGCGGAAGCCUGAACCAGCCAUACCGCGUGCAGGAAGGCGGCCUUAUGGGUUGUAAACUUCUUUUAUGGGGGAAUAAAGUGUGCCACGUGUGGCAUUUUGUAUGUACCCCAUGAAUAAGCAUCGGCUAAUUCCGUGCCAGCAGCCGCGGUAAU